rnacentral:rRNA from 1 species
GACGAACGCUGGCGGCGUGCUUAACACAUGCAAGUCGAACGGUAAGGCCCUUCGGGGUACACGAGUGGCGAACGGGUGAGUAACACGUGGGUGAUCUGCCCUGCACUUCGGGAUAAGCCUGGGAAACUGGGUCUAAUACCGGAUAGGACCCUGGGAUGCAUGUCCUGGGGUGGAAGGCUUUUGCGGUGUGGGAUGGGCCCGCGGCCUAUCAGCUUGUUGGUGGGGUGAUGGCCUACCAAGGCGACGACGGGUAGCCGGCCUGAGAGGGUGACCGGCCACACUGGGAGUGAGAUACGGCCCAGACUGCUACGGGAGGCAGCAGUGGGGAAUAUUACACAAUGGGCGCAAGCCUGAUGCAGCGACGCCGCGUGAGGGAUGACGGCCUUCGGGUUGUAAACCUCUUUCAGCACCGACGAAGCGCAAGUGACGGUAGGUGCAGAAGAAGGACCGGCCAACUACGUGCCAGCCGCCGCGGUAA